AGGAUAGUAGUUAAAAAUAACAUUUGAGUUGCAUUCAAAAAGUAUUGAUACUUUUCAAUCUAUCUU
rnacentral:tRNA from 1 species